UUCGCCGAGUUAUUCAACAACAUCGCUAUAUUGCUGAUUUUUGCUGUUGUUUUUUUGGUUAAAGCUGCAUGCUUUUGUUGGAUAAUGUUUAAUUUAUCAUUCACGUUUUACAUAUGAUUCUGUUUAAACCAUAUUUAAUCGAUGUUUUGGUGAAUUUCGCGCAUGCUUAACUUGCCUGAUUUCGGACGUAAUUUACUUUCGGAUACAUGCUCCUCUUGUGUUUUUUUUCGAUGUUUUCUUAUGUAUGCAGAUUUAAAAAAACAGCUCAUGCUUAAAUGUGUUAUUGAGCAAGUGACUUCUUUAUACUAUGGCAGGAAUAAAAAAACUGUUAUAAAAUUAUAAAGGAAGUUUAGUUACAUGUAUAAACUCACAGUCACAAGUGUUAACACCUGGCGCCGUGACCUGGAUGCAGAUUCUAAGCAGAUGGGCCAAAAUGGGGGCAGCUAGAGAGACUCGCCUGGAACUGACAAGCCUGGAGGGAGCUGGUUGACUGUUGGCGAGAUGGGACAACAGACGAAGAAUAAACGAACCUACUUGAUUUGAUAAACAUUUUUAUGUUUUUCAGUUUCGUCGGAAGACAUUUCCCACCAACCAUCCUGUCUUGAAAGAAAUAACUUUUGAACCCGAUUAUCUGAUAUUUUCCAGUUUCUCCUCACAACAAUUUGCAUCAAACCUCUUGUCUGCUCCUCAGCUGAAAUCAUCAUCUAGCAGUCACAAUAGUUGAGCGGUUGGAGAGGCAUGCAUUGCGUCCUACUACUGCUCAGACUAUAUUAUGGUAAUGCCUUAUCCAAAUAACACAAGUAUUCACCAUGUGCAAAUGUCUUGUUGUCUGUAUAACUCUCUCUAUUAGCUCAAAGUAAAAAGCAUUUGAAUUUGCACACUUUGGUAUUUUAGUUUAAUUUUGUUUGGACAUUACAAUUGUUUUGAAACUAAAGAUUAGUGU